GACAUAUUUUGCCCUUCAAGUUGAUUUAAAAACAAAAUUUCCGUCCUUCGGGACAUAUGGUCAAUUUGAAAAAAUACAGAGAAGAUUAGCAUGGCCCCUGCAUAAGGAUGACACGCUUUACAAAGAGAUUUAAACCGUUUUUUUUUCGACCGUGUGGGUUCGAGUCCUGAUCAUGUCGAAAU